ACGUGCGAACAAGUUCCCAUUCUCUAUGUUUCAUGGCCUAUCAAUGAAAGUCGGUAUCAGGCUGGCUCGCUUGGCGGGUCGUCUCCUUAUAUACGUAAAUCCUCGUUUCACUCAUCUGUAAAGGUCUACCCUUCGAAAGGUAGGUUGAGUUCCCCCGUAUGUAGCCAGCCACACUCUACUCGCAGGUCAAAUAUUGGCGUAGACAACAGAGAAUGUGCUAGGUAGGAAACCGAAGGAACUCUUACUAUACGAGAAUUUUCAAUUCAAUAUGACAACCGAUCAGAAGGGAUUGGACGAUCCCAAUGCGUUGCCCUCCUUCGCAAUACCGGAACUAUCUGACCGAGC
rnacentral:lncRNA from 1 species